UACGUAGGCAGCAAGCGUUGUUCGGAAUUACUGGGCGUAAAGAGUGUGUAGGCGGUGCUCUAAGUUCGGUGUGAAAUCUCCCGCUUAACUGGGAGGGUGCGCCGGAAACUGGAGUGCUCGAGCGUGGGAGAGGAAAGCGGAAUUCCUGGUGUAGCGGUGAAAUGCGUAGAUAUCAGGAGGAACACCUGCGGUGUAGACGGCUUUCUGGACCAUUGCUGACGCUGAGGCUCGAAAGCAUGGGGAGCAAACAGG
rnacentral:rRNA from 1 species